CAGCACCUCAAGUGGUCAGGAUGAUUAUUGGGCCUAAAGCAUCCGUAGCCGGCUCUGUAAGUUUUCGGUUAAAUCUGUAUGCUCAACAUACAGGCUGCCGGGAAUACUGCAGCGCUAGGGAGUGGGAGAGGUAGACGGUACUCGGUAGGAAGGGGUAAAAUCCUUUGAUCUAUUGAUGACCACCUGUGGCGAAGGCGGUCUACCAGAACACGUCCGACGGUGAGGGAUGAAAGCUGGGGGAGCAAACCGGAUUAGAUACCCGAGUAGUC
rnacentral:rRNA from 1 species